rnacentral:rRNA from 1 species
AUACGGAGGGUGCAAGCGUUAUUCGGAAUCACUGGGCGUAAAGGGUGCGUAGGCGGUUUGAUAAGUCUGAUGUGAAAUCCUAUGGCUCAACCAUAGAACUGCAUUGGAAACUGUCAGACUAGAAUACUGAAGGGGCAGAUGGAAUUAGUGGUGUAGGGGUAAAAUCCGUAGAUAUCACUAGGAAUACCGAAAGCGAAAGCGAUCUGCUGGGAAGUUAUUGACGCGGAGGCACGAAAGCGUGGGGAGCAAACGGGAUUAGAUACCCCUGUAGUCC